rfam:Lasallia pustulata genome assembly, contig: scaffold11154_size1997
UACCUGGUUGAUUCUGCCAGUAGUCAUAUGCUUGUCUCAAAGAUUAAGCCAUGCAUGUCCAAGUAUAAGCAAUUUGUACCGUGAAACUGCGAAUGGCUCAUUAAAUCAGUUAUCGUUUAUUUGAUAGUACCUUACUACUUGGAUAACCGUGGUAAUUCUAGAGCUAAUACAUGCUAAAAACCCCGACUUUGGGAGGGGUGUAUUUAUUAGAUAAAAAACCAAUGCCCUCCGGGGCUCCUUGGUGAUUCAUGAUGACUUAACGAAUCGCAUGGCCUUGCGCCGGCGAUGGUUCAUUCAAAUUUCUGCCCUAUCAACUUUCGAUGGUAGGAUAGUGGCCUACCAUGGUUUCAACGGGUAACGGGGAAUUAGGGUUCUAUUCCGGAGAGGGAGCCUGAGAAAUGGCUACCACAUCCAAGGAAGGCAGCAGGCGCGCAAAUUACCCAAGCCUGGCACGGGGAGGUAGUUACAAUAAAUACUGAUACGGGGCUCUUUUGGGUCUCGCAAUUAGAAUGAGUACAAUUUAAAGCCCGUAACAAAGAACAAGUGGAGGGCGAGUCUGAUGCCGGCAGCCGCGGUAAUUCCAGCUCCAAUAGCGUAUAUUAAAGUUGUUGCAGUUAAAAAGCUCGUAGUUGAACCUUGGGCCUGGCUGACCGGUCCGCCUAACCGCGUGUACUGGUUCGGCCGGGCCUUUCUUCUGGGGAGCCGCAUGUCCUUCGCUGGGCGUGCUGGGGAACCAGGACUUUUACUUUGAAAAAAUUAGAGUGUUCAAAGCAGGCCUAUGCUCGAAUACAUUAGCAUGGAAUAAUAGAAUAGGACGUUGGUUCUAUUUUGUUGGUUUCUAGGACCGCCGUAAUGAUUAAUAGGGAUAGUCGGGGGCAUCAGUAUUGAAUUGUCAGAGGUGAAAUUCUUGGAUUUAUUCAAGACUAACUACUGCGAAAGCAUUUGCCAAGGAUGUUUUCAUUAAUCAGUGAACGAAAGUUAGGGGAUCGAAGACGAUCAGAUACCGUCGUAGUCUUAACCAUAAACUAUGCCAGCUAGGGAUCGGUGGGUGUUUUAUUUUUGACCCCAUCGGCACCUUGUGAGAAAUCAAAGCGUUUGGGUUCCGGGGGGAGUACGGUCGCAAGAUUGAAACUUAAAGCAAUUGACGGAAGGGCACCACAAGGCGUGGAGCCUGCGGCUUAAUUUGACUCAACACGGGAAAACUCACCAGGUCCAGACAAAAUAAGGAUUGACAGAUUGAGAGCUCUUUCUUGAUUUUUUGGGUGGUGGUGCAUGGCCGUUUUUAGUUGGUGGAGUGAUUUGUCUGCUUAAUUGCGAUAACGAACGAGACCUUAACCUGCUAAAUAGCCAGGCUAGCUUUGGCUGGUCGCAGGCUUCUUAGAGGGACUAUCGGCUCAAGCCGAAGGAAGUUUGAGGCAAAAACAGGUCUGUGAUGCCCUAGACAUACUAGGGGCUUAUAAGUAAAAAUUUAGUGGUCUUUAACUAGACUGCAACGCUAUCACUCUGGCGGGAAGGUCCUUUGGAUCAACCCGCAGCUUCUAAAGCACAGAGACUAAAUGAUGGUGGAUGCCGAAAGGCGUUUUAGAUAUAGUCCACCUUUAUAGUUAAUUAUAAAGAUCAGUGUAGAUGUUCUGGGCCGCACGCGCGCUACACUGACAGAGCCAGCGAGUACAUCACCUUGGCUGAAAAGUCUGGGUAAUCUUGUUAAACUCUGUCGUGCUGGGGAUAGAGCAUUGCAAUUAUUGCUCUUCAACGAGGAAUGCCUAGUAAGCGCAAGUCAUCAGCUUGCGUUGAUUACGUCCCUGCCCUUUGUACACACCGCCCGUCGCUACUACCGAUUGAAUGGCUCAGUGAGGCCUUCGGACUGGCUUAGGGAGGUCGGCAACGACCACCCAGAGCCGGAAAGUUCGUCAAACUUGGUCAUUUAGAGGAAGUAAA